AUUUAGCAACUACUUUUAGCAGAUCAAGUGCCUUCAACCACUAAGUUUUAAGAUAUUUUAUCCGAGAUGAAAACGUUAAAUGUCGGUCACAAUUACGACUUUUAUGGGCGCAAUAUCUAAGAAUAAUUGUGGGUCUAUAUUUCUACAAAAAUGUAUACAAUGGGCCUUUGUUUUACAAACACAGCUAUUGAAGGAAAUAGGUCAGUAAUUUGAUGGAUCUGUAAGAUCCCACCCAAGCCUUGAAACAGGAACAAUUAUAGCGUUAUGCCAUGAAGGAGGAAAAUACUAUCAGCUCCUGUUGUAGUAUCAUGAGCUUAUGAUAACUUAGUGAGUAACUAAUGGAGUAAAAGUACUUCAUUAUAAUCUACACCAUUAUCAGAACUAAAAUGUACUUUUUAUUCUCUUCCCAGUUCUGAUUUAAUUUAAACAGGGGAUCAUAAUUCUAUGAGGAUGAACGUUUGGCCACGGUUUCACCUAACUUAUUUUCAAUUUCAGGUGUGUUUUUUCUGUUAAUCAAUGAUUGUCGUCUUUAAGUAGAUGAAUACUGGACUUCGAACUUUUGUCUUUGAUUUGUUUUAUUACGUUCUAAACUUUUGUGUGCGUGAAUCUAUUUUAGAAACGUAGAUCUUCCACGUCGGACGUCUAUUUGGUUUAAACGUUCGACUAGCGUUGGCAAACUGAUUUUAAAUCUUGAACAGUAGGGUGUCAGCGAAAGUAUUUCUCUGCAUUCUUCCUACUCUACUCAUGUUGCAGUCAUCAGCAUUACGGCAGGUUUUGAACAAUGCCUCUAAUGGACCUGGUUGUUUUUGUGUGUGUGCUGUACCAGCAAUGCUGAUACUUGGAAAUUAUUGUAAUAGAUCAAUUGAUUGUUGUCUCCUUGAACACUCAACAAGGAGCUGACCACCUCCGAGACAUGAAAGAUUCUUGACUUCACAGAUAAAAUGUUUAUAAAAAUGGAUUUAGCUUGACGGGUUCACCAUUUGUCGCCUCAGUGACUAUAAAUCUUGCCCACUUUCCUUCUGUUUUGGAGAUGAAACAUCUUCAGCCUCUAUACGCCUUAGUUUGUGUCUUUUCUAGCGGAACCAGAAUGUGUUUGAUCCAUGAUGUGGGCAAGAGGUCCCCACCCACCACCGAGUGUGAAUAAGGGCAGUGUUUGACCGCAGCAGUGAUACAAACACUAGGGAUACAGGUGUUUACUCCAAUGGCUGAAAGACACUGUCCAGACAUGUUCAGAGCACAGGGUGGAUUUUAUCACCAAGAUGAUGAACAAUGUGACAAAUGUGAACUGCUCCGGCGAAGAAUUCAUGCUGGACAACCUGUCAUCAAGGGAAGAAGAUGUUUCCCUCAAACAUGUUUUUUCAAAUUACAUUGGCAUGUAGGUUUCAUUAAUCCUUCCACAGACAGGUCUGGGAGAAAUAUUAGAAAAGCCAAACGUCUUGCAAUGUGUGAGAAUCUUGCAAAAUACGCUUCAGCCUUGAUGAAUUCACAUGGAGGUACAAUACUUAUUCACAUUGAUGGCUUGACACAGGCGAUUUCUACCUUGGCUAUCUGGAUGAAAUGGUGGCCGAAAAAUUACAUUCAUUGUUAGAAAGAGGACAGCUUUAUUCCAAUGCAUUUAAGACAGUGUCAAUGGGAGAAUUAGACAGUAGAUACAAGGAAUAUGUCCUCUUUGUGUAAAUGGUAGCUCCCGAUUCGUAACACAAGAACUGAACACAUGUGUCGCUCUAGAUGAUAGGAUCCUAGAAGCCCCCGCUGAGGUUGUGUCAGAGAUCUUGAUCUCAAAACCCCAAGUCAGGAGGAUGCGUCCAAAGAUACGUGGAACACAUUUCUCUAAAGAAAAUCGUGAAGUACAAUUCAAACGGUUCAAACCACCAUCAUUUCUUGAGGAAGAACUGAAGAAUAAUCCUGAAAAACGGCACUUUACAUUUGGAAGGAACUUGGACUUCGUGAAUACUUGACGGCCUUUGCCAAACUUCCAGAAGGCGGGUCAUAUUUUCUCGGAGUUGGAGAAAAUGAAAUUUCACUUCAACGAUACAAAACCAAGAAAAUCGUGCUUGAAGGAAUUCCCGAGGGUUUUGUGGAUACACGGGUCAUUCGUCAAUUGGAGCAUUUCUUUAGGAACUCGACACUGUUUUGCAACUAUAGUGGGGAGUUCAUUCCUUCUGUUUCCUCCAACUUUAUAAUCAAGGUUCACUACAACGAGUUUGGGAAACGUGUCUUGGAAUGUUCCAUUGCUCCAAUGAAUGGUAUAUUGUUUUAUGCCAAAACCGGGCCUGUAUCAUACAAAGUACACAAUGGCCAACUCAGACAAAUCGCGCCUCAAGAGUGGUAUGAUGCAAUGACAAGAAAACACAAGACUGAUGGCACAGCAAAGCACCAUGAUUGGAAACAUAUGGAACCUAAGAAAACCUGGACAGAAGAAAAACAGAAGUUGCAAAAUCAGUGAUUAAUCGAGCUUCAGAACUCCAGUGAAGAAAAUGACGAUGGGUCGACAGAAUCGUGUUUUUGCAUACGUUGAAGAAUCCAUACGAACUGCUCUGAAACUUUCUCCUGACGCAUUUCUUCCACUUGGAAUUAUCUGUGAAGCUGUCAUUUUAAUUCCCCACAGGUUCGGAUUUGUGUUAACCGUCCAUGAUGGACGUAGACCUUCUGCGGACAUUCUCACUUACAACUGCCAACUUGGGCGGGACCUAUCAGCUGCUGUUCGACUUAC